rnacentral:rRNA from 1 species
AAAGACGUGCGCAGGCGGCUUGCAAGACAGAUGUGAAAUCCCCGGGCUCAACCUGGGAACUGCAUUUGUGACUGCAAGGCUAGAGUACGGUAGAGGGGGAUGGAAUUCCGCGUGUAGCAGUGAAAUGCGUAGAUAUGCGGAGGAACACCAAUGGCGAAGGCAAUCCCCUGGACCUGUACUGACGCUCAUGCACGAAAGCGUGGGGAGCAAACAGGAUUAGAUACCCGUGU